CAGCCAAGGAGUUCAUUUGCCACUUGUCUCUUUGUGUGAGGGCCCACAGGCCCAGAUGGUCUUCUUCCACCUCUCUCUUUUUCUGCUUUUUCUUUUGCCUUUUUCUCAGCAUUCCUCAGACUUAUGAGCACAUAUGUUACAUGAUAUUGCACAAUCAUGAUAAUGUGGUUUUGUCACUUUUUGGAAUGUGUCUCAUACGCUAUAGUCUUUUCACUUACCAUCUUCUGUAUUGGAUGCUCACGGUGGGGUCUCAAAAAGUGACUCAAAACCAACCAAAAUCAAAAACCAUAGCAUAAUAAUAAUGGUAAUAAUGGUGUUGAUAAUGGCCACUUUGGUGGGGAUCUUGAUGGAAUUGAUAAGAUAAGAUACACGAAUGUGUGCCACUGCCACUACUGCUCAAUCAUUGUAAUGAACAAAGGGGGAAGCAGUGAAAAACUUUCCUUUGGGUGAAACACCUUUCAAGUUCUCUCUUCAAACAAAGGUUUUGGUGUUUAACCAUCAUGGUUGUGAUGGUAAAGCAAUAAAGGGUUUGUUCACUUUGAUACACAGUUCUAUGAAUCAGGGAUGAAGGAGUGAUUAUAUAUAUCAGCUUGUGUUCUGGGAUUAUGUAAGGUAAGAUGUUGUGGUUUUUCAUUUGGCUGGUGUGGUUUUGUUGCUAGUUUUCUGUUUUAGUACAAUCCAUCAAGACAAUGAAUUGAAGAAUGAUAUUCAUACACUGGUUUGGUGCUAGUUUCUUGAUCUAAUCAAGAGAUUGGCUUCAUUUAGCGUAUGCUAUUACACAAACAUAGACAUGAGCAUUCAAUAACUCUUCACCAAAUGCUUAAAUGAAACUGUUUUCUUUCAACCAUGUUACAUGAUAUUGGUUCACUGGUUAGGUUUGUAAUUUAUGUUGUUUGAAAGCUUUAAUCUGCUGAAUAGGCAAUGUCAGAAGUUUUCCAACACUCCAAAGUCUGAUAGAUUCUGUUGUGUUGUGUUAUGUUGUGACUCUUCAGUCUCUGUACUGUUGUUGAUAUUAGGUUGUUUUGUUGAAUAUUGAAUAUGCACUCAAGGUUGUAAUAGCUACGUCAAAAUGACUUCAUAUUUGUUUCUUUCUCCUUUUAUUUGGCUAAUUAGUCUAUCCAAGACUUUAAUUUCUGAAGUCCAUGCACCCUUUCAAAUUCACAUGCCUACUUCAUCGAAUUUGUGGAACAAGUAAUCAUUAACAGCUUUGCUUAAAGUCCAAUUUCAAAUUGUAAAUAAAGUCAGCAUUCAGCAAAGUUUUAUUCUCUAUGUUCACAUUACUUUAUUCUAUGAACUUUUCAAAAUCCCUCCAAACACGAUCAACCUGGUACAUAGUUUGUUUGACUGUCCAUGAUAUUUUCUGGUGCAUCUGAAAGAACACUGCAAUGAAUGAACUUUGACCACUGAGUCAAGUCAGAAACCAUCAGCUUCCUAUGAAUCACUAUUGGUCUGACUGCAUAGCCUUUUUCUACUUUGAAUUUGGUGACAACUAUUUGUUGCUUUGGCUUUAAACUUCAAAUUGAAAUCAGUUCUGGAAAAAUUGAACAUGAUCCAAACAGGAUCCGGAAGAAAAGCAUGAAAAUUUUCAUCUGGGGUGAUUCUCAUAUAUCACUGUAUAAUUGAAAAACAAAGGACAAUGUACUUUUUGUAAAAGGAAAAAUUGCAGGUAUCAUAUAGAGGGACAAUAGUCUUCAUGGUGUUUUUUGUAGGCUCCUGCUCAGAAUCACGCAAAAGAGCUGCACGGAUUUUUUUUCAUUGUUGAUGUGAAAGAAAUGUACCUCACAAUGUACUGAUCCUCAUAUAAAAGGGGUGAAACACUGAUUCCAAGUGAAAAUAAAGGGCAGUACCAGUUAAUGGUUGGUGCAUAAUUGUUGCAGUGAAAGUGAAAAUGUGACUAAAAUAUAUCACAUUGAAUGAAGAUGAACAUAUUGAGCAAUUUAUAAAUAGUUUAGACUCAUACUUCAAA